CCUACGGGUGGCUGCAGUAGGGAAUAUUGGACAAUGGGCGAAAGCCUGAUCCAGCCAUGCCGCGUGGUAGAUGAAGGCCCUCUGGGUUGUAAAUACCUUUUAUCUGGGAAGAAAUAUCUCGUUCUCGAGAAACUGACGGUACCAGAUGAAUAAGCACCGGCUAACUCCGUGCCAGCAGCCGCGGUAAUCCGGAGGGUGCAAGCGUUUUCCGGAUUUACUGGGUUUGUAGGGUGCGUUAGCGGUAAGUGGUGAAAGCCCCGAGCUUAACUUGGGAAUUGCCAUUGAUACUGUGUUUCUUGAAUACGAUUGAGGUAAGCGGAAUGUUGCAUGUAGCGGUGAAAUGCUUAGAUAUGUUACAGAACACCAAUUGCGAAGGCAGCUUACUAAGUCGUCAUUGACGCUGAGGCACGAAAGCGUGGGGAGCAAACAGGAUUAGAUACCCCGGUAGUC
rnacentral:rRNA from 1 species